UACGUAGGGGGCAAGCGUUGUCCGGAUUUAUUGGGCGUAAAGAGCGUGUAGGCGGCCAUACAGGUCAGCUGUGAAAACUCGAGGCUCAACCUCGAGACGUCGGUUGAAACCGUAUGGCUAGAGUCCGGAAGAGGAGAGUGGAAUUCCCGGUGUAGCGGUGAAAUGCGCAGAUAUCAUUUGGAACGCCAAUGGCGAAAGCAGGCAACUGGGGCUGUACCGACGCUGAGACACGAAAGCCAGGGGAGCGAACGGG
rnacentral:rRNA from 1 species